GAGGGUUCGGGGGCCGGGGCAGGGCCACGAGGGGGACCCUGGGUUCGGGGACCAGGGCAGGGGCCAGCGAUGAGUUCGGCCCGGCAGGCGGGCGGUUCCACCAGUGCCCGGGUCGGGGUUCGCUCUUGGUGGUCUGGGCUCACACCCCUGACUGACUUAAGGGUUCCUUCACAUGCCGGCGCGGGAAGGAAGAUGGACCAGGCCCCCCGAGCCCACAGUGUCCUUGCUGUCUGUCCCCUUGGGCAAACCCUUUAUCCUCUCUGCUUCAGUUUCCCCACCUGUAAGAUGAGCCUGUGUGAGGGUUGUUAGUGCUAGUUGCCAUGGAGCUGACCCGAUUCAUGGUGACCCCACAUGUGUUAGAGUAGACUGUGUCUAUAGGAUUUUCAAUGGCUGAUUGUUUGGAAAUAUGUCGCCAAGCCUUCCGUCCAAGGCACCUCUGGGCAGACUUGAACGUCCAGCCUUUCUGCUAGUAGUCGAGCUUAACCAUUCACACCACCCAGGGGCGCUCCAGUGUAAACAUUUGCUAUUUUUUCUUACACAGUAGUAAAACUGAGAGGCACCUGCUCUGGGGGCAUAGGCUCAGGGAGUGUGGCCUAGUUUGGAGAACUGUGAGACUUCCCUUCGGAACUGGUGAUGGAGCUGGGCUCCACUGGAGGAAUAGCAAGGAGAGGGGUGAUCUCAUUGUGGGCACCACAGGCACUGACCACCCUAGCUGUGGGCAUCAAGGGCACUGACACAGGACUGCUCUGGCUGUAGGCACCAUGCACCCUGACAGAGACACUGUCCUGGAGGAGUCUGUGAUACGGAUCGGCAACAAUGAGACUACCUUCAAGAACUCGGUUUUCAUGAUUGAGCUCUCCGGUACAUGGUACGGUUCUCUGUCCUUCCUGGAAAUGGCCACCUGGGCUUUUAACGGUUGACCGUCAGGACAGCAUCUCCUAGGGGACUGGACUGUGCUUUCUGUGCCUGUAAGAACAGUGUGGGGGCGGCGUCUGGCCUCCUCUAAUUUCACCUUCAGGAUCGACACCCUAAGGCUGAUUGCCAUGAGACGUGCCGAGAAUGAGACAUCACUUUCUGUCGGCCAGAAUUCUGAGACAUAUGGUCAGUGCUACUGCUAUGUUUGUGAUAAGCUGGCAUCUGAGCGUGAGAGGCCUGUGCAUCCAGUCUGCACCGCCAGUGCCUGUCCUGGACAAGCGCCCUGUCCUGCCACUGCAGCGCCCACAAGAGCAAGCACUGGAAGGAUGAGCAGAACCGCACCCUGGCCGGCAUCCUCGUCGUAGACCUGCGGCAUGGAAGUGAGUCCCGCAGGAGCCCAGGUCUCGAGAGCCAAGCUUAGAAGGUGCCACAGCUUCCCUGUCUCCCCCGCCCCCGCAGGAGAGCGUCUGCUGCUGUUUAUGCAGGAGUUUGCUGCGGCCUACACCCACUACCUCAGUGGGGCGAUGCUGCCAAGCUCACAGGCCUGCUGUGCAUUCCAGUCAAGGCCCAGCUUGGGACAGUGUUAUCCCUGCCAGUGUCGGCAUCAAAACAAGGAGCCCAUGUACUGGUGAAUGUCGGGGCAAGGGGGCUGGGCAACACUGGGGCACCUUUCCAGGUUAGCUCCAAAAGGGUUCCCACUGCACAUCUGGGGUCUUAAACGCUAGCAAGCAGCCAUCUAAGAUGCAUCAGUUGGUCCCAACCCACCUGGAUCAAAGGAGAAUGAAGAACACUAAGGACACAAGGCGAUUACGAGCCCAAGAGACAGAAAGAGCCACAUGAACCAGAGACUACAUCAUCCUGAGACCAGAAGAACUAGAUGGUGCCCAGCUACAACCGAUGACUGCCGUGACAGGGAACACAACAGAGAACCCCUGAGGAAGCAGGAGAGCAGUGGGAUGCAGACCCCAAAUUCUUAUAGGACCAGACUUAAUGGUCUGGCUGAGACUAGAAAGACCCCAGUGGUCAUGGCCCCCAAAUGUUCUGUUGCCCCAGGACAGGAACCAUUCCCGAAGCCAACGCUUCAGACAUGGAUUGGACUGGACAAUGGGUUGGAGAGGGAUGCUGGUGAGGAGUGAGCUUCUUGGAUCAGGUGGACACUUGAGACUGUUGGCAUCUCCUGCCUGGAGGGGAGAUAAGAGGGUGGAGGGGGUUAGAAGCUGGCGAAAUGGCCACAAAAAGAGAGAGUGGAAGGAGAGAGCGGGCUGUCUUAUUAGGGGGAGAGUAAUUGGGAGUGUGUAGCAAGGUAUAUGUGGGUUUUUGUGUGAGAGACUGAUGAUUUGUAAUCUUUCACUUAAAGCACAAUAAAAAUUAUUUAAAAAAAAAAAGGGGUUCCACUGCGGCUUCAGAGGGCUACUGCCAUCCAUUCACAUGUCCCUCAAGGUCAUGGAGGGCAUGAGGUCCAUGGCCCUGGUCAGAGACCUUCCAGGCUUGAGAUAGUCCAGGCUGCGGAAGGGGCUCUGCAGGGCUUUGUCAGGCUCGAUUGUUAGACGGGUUUUUUUUUUGUUUUUUUCGUGUUUUAUUUGUUUUAGCAUUUUAUUAAAAAGCAGUCAAACACAUAGAGAAGGUUGUACAUGAACACCACAUGCCCACUGAGAUGCCCCAUUGGUGUCCAGCUUUGGGCCCCCAGGCUGGCUUCUUGCUGUGGUGGGGCUGUGAUCCUUCAGGUGGAUAUGACAGGAGGCAGUUUCGACGGACCAGCCUUGGACAGGCUCCGUGAGCAAGGGUCUGCUUGCAUGGGGCUUGGUGGUUUCCAGAACCUUCCCAGUAGACUCUCCUAGCCGCUCAACCUCCCACACGUGUUGGGGAAGCUUGAGUCCUUGGUCGCCCCCAAACCAGCGUUGGGGCCUGUGUGGCCCAUGUGCCACGUGCCCAUUGCCUGGGGCCACUCAUGCAGAGGUGGGCCCUGAGCGCCUCACUGCUGUCCCCAGCACGUGACCCCCUCCAGCCUUUGUGGAAUCCAUGGUUGUGUUCCCACCAGAAAUGGCUCUGACCUUUUGCCAUCGGUGCCCAUCAACGAACCUGAUAAUGCAGAGGGGUCCAGCGUCCUGUUUUUUUGUUUUUUUCCUCUAGGUAUUCAGAGAUUUUCAAUUUGGUGUCUUCAUUUAUAAGCCAGGCAGAGAAAGAGACUCCAGAGACAUCGGCCAUCAUGUUGCUGGGGGCAGUGAGGGAGAUCGCACUGCAUAAGGACCCCGCACUGUAAGCCUGAGGCUCUCGCCAGGUCUAGGCCCCGGAGGCCUGAUCAUCGGGUCUGGAGGCCCUGAGGCCUGAUUGUCGGGUCUGCAGGCCCUGAGGCACAAUCAUCAGGUCUGAGAGGUUAGAAAGUCCUAAGCCACCCACAAGGGUGACCUGCAUGUGUCCUCUUGCAAUUAUUGGGAGAACAUGGGUACCACUGAGUCUCUGAAGCUGGCAGUGCCCCGGCUCAUGGCCAGGUG